CAGCAGUAGCCGCGGGAAAACGUAGGGUGCGAGCGUUAAUCGGAAUUACUGGGCGUAAAGCGUGCGCAGGCGGUUCGUUAAGUCUGUUGCGAAAGCCCCGGGCUCAACCUGGGAAUGGCAAUGGAUACUGGCGAGCUAGAGUGUGUCAGAGGAUGGUGGAAUUCCCGGUGUAGCGGUGAAAUGCGUAGAGAUCGGGAGGAACAUCAGUGGCGAAGGCGGCCAUCUGGGACAACACUGACGCUGAGGCACGAAAGCGUGGGGAGCAAACAGGAUUAGAUACCCCGGUAGUCCCUGUCUCUUAUAC
rnacentral:rRNA from 1 species